GAUUAAGCCAUGCAUGUGUAAGUAUAAAUAGUUAACUUUGAAACUGCGAAUGGCUCAUUAUAUCAGUUAUAGUUUAUUUGAUGAAGAAUACUAAUUGGAUAACCGUAGUAAUUCUAGAGCUAAUACAUGUAUAAAGUCUUGUAGACUGCAUUUAUUAGAAUGAAAACCAUAGGUUUCGGCCUAUUCGUGAGUAAUAAUAACUAAUCAUAUCGUAUGCUUAUGUAACGAUGUGUCUUUCAAGUUUCUGCCCUAUCAGCUUUCGAUGGUAGUGUAUGGGCCUACCAUG
rnacentral:rRNA from 1 species